rnacentral:rRNA from 1 species
CGCGUAGGCUGUGCUGUAAGUCAGGCGUGAAAUCCCCGGGCUCAACCUGGGAAUUGCGCAUGAUACUGCGGCGCUGGAAUGCAGGAGAGGAUGGCGGAAUUCCCAGUGUAGAGGUGAAAUUCGUAGAUAUUGGGAAGAACACCGGUGGCGAAGGCGGCCAUCUGGCCUGCGAUUGACGCUGAGGCGCGAAAGCGUGGGGAGCAAACA